GGAUUGUGGCUCAGUGGUCGAGCGCUUGCCUCACAUGCAUAAAUCCCUGGGUUCGAUCCUCAGCACCA
rnacentral:tRNA from 1 species